rnacentral:hammerhead_ribozyme from 1 species
CACUGGCUGACGAGUCCCAAAUAGGACGAGAUGCGCAUCCUGAUG